CCUACGGGCAGCAGCAGUGAGGAAUAUUGGUCAAUGGUCGGGAGACUGAACCAGCCAAGCCGCGUGAGGGAUGAAGGUACAGAGUAUCGUAAACCUCUUUUGUCAGGGAACAAAGGCGGGGACGUGUCCCCGGCUGAGUGUACCUGAAGAAAAAGCAUCGGCUAACUCCGUGCCAGCAGCCGCGGUAAUACGGAGGAUGCGAGCGUUAUCCGGAUUUAUUGGGUUUAAGGGGUGCGCAGGCGGUCUGUUAAGUCAGCGGUCAAAGCCCGGGGCUCAACCCCGGCCCGCCGUUGAAACUGGCAGUCUCGAGUUGGAGAGAAGUAUGCGGAAUGCGCGGUGUAGCGGUGAAAUGCAUAGAUAUCGCGCAGAACUCCGAUUGCGAAGGCAGCAUGCCGGCUCCACACUGACGCUGAGGCACGAAAGCGUGGGUAUCGAACAGGAUUAGAUACCCUUGUAGUC
rnacentral:rRNA from 1 species